rnacentral:rRNA from 1 species
CCCCUAGAUGUUCUGGGCCGCACGCGCGCUACACUGAACAGUUCAACAAGUCUUAACCUUGGCCGAUAGGUCUGGGUAAUCUUUGAACGCUGUUCGUGAUUGGGAUAGACCUUUGCAAUUAUGGGUCUUCAACGAGGAAUUCCUAGUAAACGCAAGUCAUCAGCUUGCAUUGAUUACGUCCCUGCCCUUUGUACACACCGCCCGUCGCACCUACCGAUUGAAUGGUCCGGUGAAUAAUUCGGACUGCAGCAGUGUUCAGUUCCUGAACGUUGCAGCGGAAAGUUUAGUGAACCUUAUCACUUAGAGGAAGGAGAAGUCGUANCA